AUUGAACGCUGGCGGCAUGCCUUACACAUGCAAGUCGAACGGUAACAGGGAGCUUGCUCCGCUGACGAGUGGCGAACGGGUGAGUAAUGUAUCGGAACGUACCUUUCAGUGGGGGAUAACGCAGCGAAAGUUGCGCUAAUACCGCAUACGCCCUGAGGGGGAAAGCGGGGGAUCGUAAGACCUCGCGUUAAUGGAGCGGCCGAUGCCGGAUUAGCUAGUUGGUGAGGUAAAGGCUCACCAAGGCGACGAUCCGUAGCUGGUCUGAGAGGACGACCAGCCACACUGGAACUGAGACACGGUCCAGACUCCUACGGGAGGCUG
rnacentral:rRNA from 1 species